rnacentral:rRNA from 1 species
GUGAACGCUGGCGGUAGGCCUAACACAUGCAAGUCGAACGGCAGCACAGUAAGAGCUUGCUCUUACGGGUGGCGAGUGGCGGACGGGUGAGGAAUACAUCGGAAUCUACUUUUUCGUGGGGGAUAACGUAGGGAAACUUACGCUAAUACCGCAUACGACCUACGGGUGAAAGCAGGGGAUCUUCGGACCUUGCGCGAUUGAAUGAGCCGAUGUCGGAUUAGCUAGUUGCCGGGGUAAAGGCCCACCAAGGCGACGAUCCGUAGCUGGUCUGAGAGGAUGAUCAGCCACACUGGAACCGAGACACGGUCCAGACUCCUACGGGAGGCAGCAGUGGGGAAUAUUGGACAAUGGGCGCAAGCCUGAUCCAGCCAUACCGCGUGGGUGAAGAAGGCCUUCGGGUUGUAAAGCCCUUUUGUUGGGAAAGAAAAGCAGCAGGUUAAUACCCCGCUGUUCUGACGGUACCCAAAGAAUAAGCACCGGCUAACUUCGUG